CCCAGUAGCUGGGAUUACAGACAUGCACCACCACGCCCGGCUAAUUUUGUAUUUUUAGUAGAGAUGGGGUUUCACCAUGUUGGCCAAGCUGGUCUUGAACUCCUGACCUCAGGCGAUCCUCCCACCUCGGCCUCCCAAAGUACUGGGAUUACAGGCGUGAGUCACUGCACCCGUCCUAGAACAGCAUCCUUCUUUAAAGGAAGGGCUUUAAGUAUAGGCCCAAGAACUUGGUGAUGACUCUCAGGAUGAGGAGACAUCUGGGAGGGGGAGAAGUGACACAGGAACCUCCAAAAGUGGACCCCUUUGACUCCACCUAUCAGAUUUCAUUGUUUGACCCGUAUUACAGGUGACAGAAUUUCAGGUUUCACUUUUAAAGUGCCCAUUUCCAAACCAUUUGUCUAUGAAUAUGUGCAAGAAAGACAAGAGAAAAGGGUGCUGACAUGAUGCCCGACUUGCCCUUGUAUGAAGCACCCCUAAAGUGUCCUAGGCCUGCAGAAAUGAAGGGGAGACCACAAGAAGAGGCAGAAGACAGGAACAAGACCAGCUCGCUUUGUUCCUAAGCAAGGACUUUUCUCCCAGCAGCCCAUUUCCAGGGAACCCAAGUGCUGGAUUAUUUUGCAACUGGGCUCAACUCUCUUGAGUUUUCUGAGGGCAGCACCAGCAUGAGACCAUCCUUUACAGGACGGCGUCCUGUUCCACCUUACACUCUGACCCGUGCCAUUCUUGGUUCCUCGAACAUGGAGCUCUGGAAAGGAAGGACUGAUACAGGCUGGCUGUAGAUCAGAAGAGGAUUCCAGCAUAGAGAGAGAAUUUAAAAUAUGAGAAAAGGAGAAUU